AUCUUGAAUUCAAACAGAAAAUUUUACAACUACGUCUCAAAUCUGACUAAAUUCACCUACAGAAACUGACUACAUGACUUAGAGAUUUUCUCAAGUCUACAUGUUCGAUUAUGGUCUAAUUAGUUUGCUGCUUCCUAUCGAUUGUUUUUACUUAAUCUUGUCAACUUCACUAUUUAGUCAAUUUUGCAGAAAGACAAGCAAACGAAAAAGAAAAACAUGUAGGCAAACAAGUCGGAGUCAGGAAAAUCAAUAUUAAAGGGAAGAUCAUUUCAUUUCAUUAAAAGGAGUUCAGUGCAAAAAGGAGAAUUUGUUACAAAGCUGAAGAAAAGCUACAAGGCCGA
rnacentral:lncRNA from 1 species